rnacentral:rRNA from 1 species
ACACUGGGACUGAGACACUGCCCAGACUCCUACGGGAGGCUGCAGUCGAGAAUCAUUCGCAAUGGGCGNAAGCCUGACGAAGCGACGCCGUGUGAGCGANGAAGGCCUUCGGGUUGUAAAGCUCUUUCGCUAGGGAACAAGAGAGGUGGCGAAUAACACCCCGCCAAUUUGAUGGUACUUGGAAAAGAAGCAC